rnacentral:rRNA from 1 species
GACGGAGGAUGCAAGCGUUAUCCGGAAUGAUUGGGCGUAAAGCGUCCGCAGGUGGCAGUUCAAGUCUGCUGUCAAAGACCGGGGCUUAACUUCGGAAAGGCAGUGGAAACUGAACAGCUAGAGUAUGGUAGGGGCAGAGGGAAUUCCCGGUGUAGCGGUGAAAUGCGUAGAGAUCAGGAAGAACAUCGGUGGCGAAGGCGCUCUGCUGGACCAUAACUGACACACAGGGACGAAAGCUAGGGGAGCGAAUGGG